AGGAGUGCUGUAUCUGUAUGAAAAGGGCAAACUGUACCAGCAGAUCAUGCAUUACCACAUGCAGAAUGAGGAGUACGGGAAAGUCGUGGAG